rnacentral:rRNA from 1 species
CUGUGAGCUCGAUGAGUAGGGCGGGACACGUGGUAUCCUGUCUGAAUAUGGGGGGACCAUCCUCCAAGGCUAAAUACUCCUGACUGACCGAUAGUGAACCAGUACCGUGAGGGAAAGGCGAAAAGAACCCCGGCGAGGGGAGUGAAAAAGAACCUGAAACCGUGUACGUACAAGCAGUGGGAGCACAGAGCAAUCUGUGUGACUGCGUACCUUUUGUAUAAUGGGUCAGCGACUUAUAUUCUGUAGCAAGGUUAACCGAAUAGGGGAGCCGAAGGGAAACCGAGUCUUAACUGGGCGUUAAGUUGCAGGGUAUAGACCCGAAACCCGGUGAUCUAGCCAUGGGCAGGUUGAAGGUUGGGUAACACUAACUGGAGGACCGAACCGACUAAUGUUGAAAAAUUAGCGGAUGACUUGUGGCUGGGGGUGAAAGGCCAAUCAAACCGGGAGAUAGCUGGUUCUCCCCGAAAGCUAUUUAGGUAGCGCCUCGUGAAUUCAUCUCCGGGGGUAGAGCACUGUUUCGGCAAGGGGGUCAUCCCGACUUACCAACCCGAUGCAAACUGCGAAUACCGGAGAAUGUUAUCACGGGAGACACACGGCGGGUGCUAACGUCCGUCGUGAAGAGGGAAACAACCCAGACCGCCAGCUAAGGUCCCAAAGUCAUGGUUAAGUGGGAAACGAUGUGGGAAGGCCCAGACAGCCAGGAUGUUGGCUUAGAAGCAGCCAUCAUUUAAAGAAAGCGUAAUAGCUCACUGGUCGAGUCGGCCUGCGCGGAAGAUGUAACGGGGCUAAACCAUGCACCGAAGCUGCGGCAGCGACACUAUGUGUUGUUGGGUAGGGGAGCGUUCUGUAAGCCUGUGAAGGUGUGCUGUGAGGCAUGCUGGAGGUAUCAGAAGUGCGAAUGCUGACAUAAGUAACGAUAAAGCGGGUGAAAAGCCCGCUCGCCGGAAGACCAAGGGUUCCUGUCCAACGUUAAUCGGGGCAGGGUGAGUCGACCCCUAAGGCGAGGCCGAAAGGCGUAGUCGAUGGGAAACAGGUUAAUAUUCCUGUACUUGGUGUUACUGCGAAGGGGGGACGGAGAAGGCUAUGUUGGCCGGGCGACGGUUGUCCCGGUUUAAGCGUGUAGGCUGGUUUUCCAGGCAAAUCCGGAAAAUCAAGGCUGAGGCGUGAUGACGAGGCACUACGGUGCUGAAGCAACAAAUGCCCUGCUUCCAGGAAAAGCCUCUAAGCAUCAGGUAACAUCAAAUCGUACCCCAAACCGACACAGGUGGUCAGGUAGAGAAUACCAAGGCGCUUGAGAGAACUCGGGUGAAGGAACUAGGCAAAAUGGUGCCGUAACUUCGGGAGAAGGCACGCUGAUAUGUAGGUGAAGCGACUUGCUCGUGGAGCUGAAAUCAGUCGAAGAUACCAGCUGGCUGCAACUGUUUAUUAAAAACACAGCACUGUGCAAACACGAAAGUGGACGUAUACGGUGUGACGCCUGCCCGGUGCCGGAAGGUUAAUUGAUGGGGUCAGCGCAAGCGAAGCUCUUGAUCGAAGCCCCGGUAAACGGCGGCCGUAACUAUAACGGUCCUAAGGUAGCGAAAUUCCUUGUCGGGUAAGUUCCGACCUGCACGAAUGGCGUAAUGAUGGCCAGGCUGUCUCCACCCGAGACUCAGUGAAAUUGAACUCGCUGUGAAGAUGCAGUGUACCCGCGGCAAGACGGAAAGACCCCGUGAACCUUUACUAUAGCUUGACACUGAACAUUGAGCCUUGAUGUGUAGGAUAGGUGGGAGGCUUUGAAGUGUGGACGCCAGUCUGCAUGGAGCCGACCUUGAAAUACCACCCUUUAAUGUUUGAUGUUCUAACGUUGACCCGUAAUCCGGGUUGCGGACAGUGUCUGGUGGGUAGUUUGACUGGGGCGGUCUCCUCCUAAAGAGUAACGGAGGAGCACGAAGGUUGGCUAAUCCUGGUCGGACAUCAGGAGGUUAGUGCAAUGGCAUAAGCCAGCUUGACUGCGAGCGUGACGGCGCGAGCAGGUGCGAAAGCAGGUCAUAGUGAUCCGGUGGUUCUGAAUGGAAGGGCCAUCGCUCAACGGAUAAAAGGUACUCCGGGGAUAACAGGCUGAUACCGCCCAAGAGUUCAUAUCGACGGCGGUGUUUGGCACCUCGAUGUCGGCUCAUCACAUCCUGGGGCUGAAGUAGGUCCCAAGGGUAUGGCUGUUCGCCAUUUAAAGUGGUACGCGAGCUGGGUUUAGAACGUCGUGAGACAGUUCGGUCCCUAUCUGCCGUGGGCGCUGGAGAACUGAGGGGGGCUGCUCCUAGUACGAGAGGACCGGAGUGGACGCAUCACUGGUGUUCGGGUUGUCAUGCCAAUGGCACUGCCCGGUAGCUAAAUGCGGAAGAGAUAAGUGCUGAAAGCAUCUAAGCACGAAACUUGCCCCGAGAUGAGUUCUCCCUGACUCCUUGAGAGUCCUGAAGGAACGUUGAAGACGACGACGUUGAUAGGCCGGGUGUGUAAGCGCAGCGAUGCGUUGAGCUAACCGGUACUAAUGAACCGUGAGGCUUAACCUUACAACGCCGAAGGUGUUU